AUGGACGCAGCCAGCGACGGCAUGCGCUUGCCCUACGACGUGCUCCUCGACAUCCUCCGCCGCCUGCCGGGGCGCGACGUUUGCGCGUCCCAGUGCGUGUGCCGCGCGUGGCGUGACAUAGUCAACAACGACCACUGGCUCUCCCUAGAGCGCUACUUCCCCCGGCGCGCCUUCCCCGGCCUCUUUGUCAACAAGACAGGGUGCCGCUCCAAUACAUCCUUCUUUGCGCCCCCAGCCAAUCGCGGCAUGCCUGGCUUCAGGAGCCCCGUCUACCCGCACCAGGCGAUAGUAUACCAGUCCUGCAAUGGCCUCCUCCUCCUCGAGGAGGGGGGCGAUUACAUUCUCAACCCAGUGACAGCGCGGUAUACUCGUCUGCCGCAGCCAUCGAUGCCGUAUUACUGGCAUGGCAUAUCUCUGGCUUUCGACCCUGCCGUGUCGUUCCACUACCAUGUGUUCCGCUUUCCCGAGGGUGGCUUGCUCAAGGAGCCAUUAUCAGCCACUAUAACGCAAGGCGAGGUUCCGCCGCUCGAGGAAGCACAAGCAGAGGAGUUCGAGGAACCCCUGAAAAAAGUGUUGUCAAUGUUAAUGUACUCUUCAUGCACAGGGCACUGGGAGGACCGAGAGUUCACACCUGGACUUUGUGCAUCGGGGCACCUCUACGACAUGGUUAGCAGAGCGCCUGAGAGCUACGAGGGUCCAUUUCAUUCAUCUAAUUACUGGCGUGGGUCUGUCUAUAUGCAUUGCCACAACAGCGUCCUCGUGAUUCUACACCCCUCGAAGGGAACUUAUGAUAUGGUCCAGCUUCCCGGAGAACCCUGCGGUCCAAAAAGCUGGUACUCGCUUCCCAAAAAUUCUGUCUUAGCAAGCUAUGAGAGAGGGGUACAUUAUGUGGUGACUAACAAUUCACAGCUUCGAGUAUGGAUGCUAACGGAAUUGACCAAUGGACAACUAGGUUGGGAAUUGGUACACGACGCCGGCCUCAACCUGCAUGGUCAUAUGAUUCGUACUCUUAAAAUACAACCCAAGAUGAUAUGGAGGAUUGUUGGAAGCAAUGGAGGACCAGUCAGCUUGUCCGACUAUGAGAUAGAGGACGAUUGGGCCACACCACAUGAAUCUGAAUAUUCAUGGGACUCUGAUGAGGACAACUACAUCGACAUGGUUGGAGGCGCCGACCACCAUGAGUCGGUAGAACAGGGUGCCUACUGCAGAAUCAUGGGAUUCCAUCCACACAAGAAUGCACUCAUCCUCGCUCUUAGCGGCGCGGUGGUAGUGUAUCAUCUCGACACCUCGAGGAUGCAGUAUCUGGGAGACGAGGACGAGCUUGAUAAAGACAACUCGCAACACGCUUGCUGUGUCGAGCAUUCGUUCAUUUACCGACCUUGCUAUAAGGACAUGCUACCAAGAGGGAAAUUAUCGAUGCCGCCACAAAAUGAUAUACGAUCCAAUUCUACAUAG
rnacentral:rRNA from 1 species